ACUCCUACGGGAGGCAGCAGUGGGGAAUAUUGGACAAUGGGGGAAACCCUGAUCCAGCCAUGCCGCGUGUGUGAAGAAGGCCUUCGGGUUGUAAAGCACUUUCAGUGGGGAGGAAAGGUUGAUGGUUGAAUACCUAUCAGCUGUGACGUUUACCCACAGAAGAAGCACCGGCUAAACUCCAGUGCCAGCGANCCGCGGUAAUACGGAGGGUGCAAGCGUUAAUCGGAAUUACUGGGCGUAAAGCGUGCGCAGGCGGUCUGUUAAGCGAGAUGUGAAAGCCCCGGGCUCAACCUGGGAACUGCAUUUCG
rnacentral:rRNA from 1 species